AACGCACAUUGCGCCCGCCAGUAUUCUGGCGGGCAUGCCUGUUCGAGCGUCAUUUCAACCCUCAAGCCCAGCUUGGUGUUGGGGCAUUGCGGCUCGUCCGCAAGCCCUGAAAAGCAGUGGCGGGCUCGCCGUAACUCCGAGCGCAGUAGUUUAUUCUCGUUCUGGAAGCGUGGCGGGUGCCGGCCGUUAAACCCCUACUUUUACAAGGUUGACCUCGGAUCAGGUAGGAAUACCCGCUGAACUUAA
rnacentral:misc_RNA from 1 species